GAUGAACGCUGGCUACAGGCUUAACACAUGCAAGUCGAGGGGAAACGACGGGGAAGCUUGCUUCCCCGGGCGUCGACCGGCGCACGGGUGAGUAACGCGUAUCCAACCUGCCUCUGACUGAGGGAUAACCCGUCGAAAGUCGGCCUAAUACCUCAUGGCAUCGUCUGCGGGCAUCCAACGACGAUUAAAGAUUUCAUCGGUCAGGGAUGGGGAUGCGUCUGAUUAGCUUGUUGGCGGGGUAACGGCCCACCAAGGCUACGAUCAGUAGGGGUUCUGAGAGGAAGGUCCCCCACAUUGGAACUGAGACACGGUCCAAACUCCUACGGGAGGCAGCAGUGAGGGAUAUUGGUCAAUGGGCGGGAGCCUGAACCAGCCAAGUAGCGUGCAGGAUGACGGCCCUAUGGGUUGUAAACUGCUUUUAUGCGGGGAUAAAGUGAGGGACGUGUCCUUCAUUGCAGGUACCGCAUGAAUAAGGACCGGCUAAUUCCGUG
rnacentral:rRNA from 1 species